UGGACAGCAGCUCAGCUGGGUCUUGGUUCAGGCCCUGAGAAGCCCACAGCAGAGUUCAACAGGGCUCUAAGCACAUCAGAUGGACCACACAAGCCAGCUGUGGCUCCUGUCCUGUCUGGCGUAGCUCAGCUGUCCACUCUGAUGGAAGUCCAUCUGUCUGAACAGCCAACGGGUCAGCUGUCCAACCAGACCCUGCUCCCCGUCAGCUCUCCUAAUCACUCACCUGCCGGCUUCUCCUUUUCCCUUCCCCGUGUUUCUCAUGAAACCAACUUGUGUUGGCUGCUUGGACUUGAAAUGAACUGAGAGCCGUCUUUCCAAAA
ensembl:lincRNA 1700057H15Rik RIKEN cDNA 1700057H15 gene